UCUGUUGUAGUCUAGUCGGUUAGGACUUAGGAUACUCGGCUCUUACCCGAGAGACCCGGGUUGGAUUCCCGGCAACGGAA